rnacentral:lncRNA from 1 species
UCCAUCAACUCUAUACUAGAGUCCAUAGCUCAACUGAAAGAAGAAAAAAUUGUAAGGACAGUAUUGAGCAAUCUUGACAUGCCUACUCUAGGCGUAUCUUUAUUUCUUUAGACUCUCCAUGUAUUUAUCUCUGAACUCUUUCAAGGUUCUUUUGUUAUCAAUACUUUGACCAAUUCAGAUAAAAUGCCAUGAUGAUCUUUCAUAUGGUAGUUU